rnacentral:rRNA from 1 species
UACAGAGACCUCAAGCGUUAUCCGGAAUCAUUGGGCGUAAAGCGUACCGAUAGGUGGUUUACCAAGUCAGAUGUGAAAUCUCCGAGCUCAACUCGGAAUCUGUCAUUUGAAACUGGUAGACUAGAGGGGCAAAGAGGAAGCUGGAACGAACGGUGUAGUAGUGAAAUGCGUUGAUAUCGUUCGGAACACCAAUAGCGAAGGCGGGCUUCUGGGUGCCACCUGACACUGCUAGGACGAAAGCGUGGGUAGCGAAUGGG